UGAGGAAUAUUGGACAAUGGAGGAAACUCUGAUCCAGCCAUGCCGCGUGAGUGAUGAAGGCCUUCGGGUUGUAAAGCUCUUUCAGGUGUGAAAAUGAUGAUGGUAACACCAGAAGAAGCCCCGGCUAACUCCGUGCCAGCAGCCGCGAUAAUACGGAGGAAGCGAGCGUUGUUCGGAAUCACUGGGCGUAAAGCGUGCGUAGGCGGUUAUACAAGUCAGGAGUGAAAUCCCAGGACUCAACCUUGGAAUUGCUUUUGAGACUGUAUGACUAGAGAUCUAGAGAGUUGGGGGAAUUCCGAGUGUAGAGGUGAAAUUCGCAGAUAUUCGGAGGAACACCAGUGGCGUAGGCGCCCGAACUGGCUAGAUACUGACGCUGAGGCACGAAAGCGUGGGGAGCGAAAC
rnacentral:rRNA from 1 species